rnacentral:rRNA from 1 species
GAUGAACGCUGGCGGCGUGCCUAAUACAUGCAAGUCGAGCGAACGGACGAGAAGCUUGCUUCUCUGAUGUUAGCGGCGGACGGGUGAGUAACACGUGGAUAACCUACCUAUAAGACUGGGAUCACUUCGGGAAACCGGAGCUAAUACCGGAUGAUAUUUUGAACCGUAUGGUUCAAAAGUAAAAGACGGUCUUGCUGUCACUUAUAGAUGGAUCCGCGCUGCAUUAGCUAGUUGGUAAGGUAACGGCUUACCAAGGCAACGAUGCAUAGCCGACCUGAGAGGGUGAUCGGCCACACGGGAACGGAGACACGGUCCAGACUCCUACGGGAGGCAGCAGUAGGGAAUCUUCCGCAAUGGGCGAAAGCCUGACGGGGCAACGCCGCGUGAGGGAUGAAGGUUUUCGGAUCGUAAGACUCUGUUAUUAGGGAAGAACAUAUGUGUAAGUAACUGUGCACAUCGUGACGGUACCUAAUCAGAAAGCCACGGCUAACUACGUG